UACGUAGGGGGCUAGCGUUGUCCGGAUUUAUUGGGCGUAAAGAGCGUGUAGGCGGCUAGAUAGGUCCGUUGUGAAAACCCGGGGCUCAACCCCGGGCCUGCAUCCGAUACUCCCGGGCUGGAGGCAGGUAGGGGAGAUCGGAAUUCCUGGUGUAGCGGUGAAAUGCGCAGAUAUCAGGAGGAACACCGGUGGCGAAGGCGGAUCUCUGGGCCUGUCCUGACGCUGAGGCGCGAAAGCUAGGGGAGCGAACAGG
rnacentral:rRNA from 1 species